AGAUGAUGUCUUUUGAUUAUGCUUUUCGGUCCUGAUUGUCUAAUUAAAGAUUGCAAGAAAUAGUCAGUCUUUUGGUAAGCAUAACCCACCUUUAUUUGUUUUCAUUGCAAUUGUGGUUUUGAUGACUAUGUCCAGGAAAUCAGCUUUUUUCUUUUUUCUUUUUUAUUUUUCAUUCUAUACUUCUUUCAGGUUGUUUGUCACCUCCUUCAUGCGAGCAUGCCAUGUAGGCUAAGAAAGGGGUACACAGUAUCGGAUAACUGUCUGCUAGAACCAAUAGGCUGUUGGGCAUAACCACAUCACCUGCACUUGCAAAAUUUGUGCAUUCGUUCCACCAUAAGGCAACACACUUGCUUAAUUCCACCAACAAAUUGCAAUAAAUGUCCCUCGAACACAAGCUCCUCAAAAGAGGAGCAAGGUGCCAACUGGGAGUAAAGCCCCAGUUGGUAAAUCCUUUCAUUUGGUGUUACUGUUAAGUUUGGAUGAUUGAGCUCUGCAUUUGUAGACAGUCUGAAUAUUGGAUUUGGUUGUUCGCAAGCACUAUAUAUUUAGUUCAAGGAGUGGAUGGUACAUUCUGGUGUGGUGUCUUUAGUACCAAUUAACUCCACUUUUCUAGGUUUGGCAAGAGUAUCUGUGGUUGCAGCUGACCCUUCUAACACAAUUUGGAGCAAGGAAAUAAACAUAAUAAGAUAGGCAAUAGAUUCAUAUGUUUUUCUAGAAAGUAGACUCUAUAUUAAUUGUAGCAUUGUUUGUUGAGAUCAGCUGGUAGUUGCAGUCAAUUCUGCAGUACAUAAAUCUGUAUGGAUCCUGAUGAGUUCUAUUCUAUAUGCAAUAUAAGGGUUUUUGGCUGGCCUUUGGGGAGCCCAUCAUGAUUUUUUUUCUAUCUUUUUGUUAAGGUCAGUGCAGAGAUGGGUGUGUCUGGUUACAUGAGCUAAGUUUGUGAUCAAGGUUUUGAGAAAGGUUUGUUCAGUUCAGAUCGGGAAUUGAAAGCGAUACUGAAUUAUUGGAGGGAGUUGAAAAGCAAGUUAUAUGGAAGGAUUUUGGCAAAAGUUAAAUGUGGUCAUGAUGAAUGCAGAGUACAUGAUAUUAAUGGAUAAACCAGUAUAUCAAGGAAGAUUAAAAUUCUUCAGCCUUCGAUCUUGGCCUAGAAUCAAGUUAGACUGGUAUCUCAGUCCAUCCCGGCAUUGGUGACCGACCAAGAUGACUAAGAUAUUUGGCAUUAAAAGAGUUAGUUGGUUUUGUUUAAACAAGUUUAAACAAAAACCUAAAAUUAAUAGUAUUUAGAAAAACGUUGUUUGAUUGUUUUUUCUCAUAAAACCUGCUUUGGAAAAAGCUGAUAGGUUAUAAACCCAAAAAAUGAAUUCUAUCAGAAACAAGUUUCCCCCUUUUAUCCAUAGAAGUUGUUUUACAUAGAAUUAUGUUUUAUGAUCAUUUGUUAUUAGUUGACUAAAUAAAACAUGUCCAUUAUUUCUGAAGUAGUAAUUAUGCCAUCUUUUGCUUAUCGAAACCAAUGCUUUGCAUUCAUUAUCAGAAUUACUAUGAGUGCAUUCUUCAUAACCAAAAUGGCUACUUUACUCUCUUAUGCUCCUAUGAACCAGCAAUAAGUUCUCUAAUACCAAAUUGCUAUUGGUUAAUCGUUGUUUUUAAAAUCUAGAACAUUUUAUUUGAUCCAGUGGUUUGCUAUCUACAAUGUAGAAAUUUCAACAUGUAACUGUCCAUGAUAUACAAAUUAGUAGCAUUUAAUGUUAGCCUUCUGAUGUUAUCUGAAAAAAGAAAAUCAACCUUUUGGGUGACUCAAGAUGUUCUAUUCCAAGGAAAGUGUGAAUUUAAAUAUGCUAUUUUGAUGAUCAUAGGUUCGUUAACUCUUCUUUCCGCUUAGUGGAGUCAACAUUGUCGUCCUUUACUCUUGAGCUCAUCCAAAUUCCUUAAGGAUGACAUCUCAUCUAUCUUAACUAUUAUGUUUUUAUUUUUGAUAAGCACUCUUCUUUAAGUUGAAGCUUCUUGCUGUUAUCUACAUUUAUCAUCUAUUGAUAGAGACUUGAGUCUUCUUUUGCCGAUGGAUCUUGCCAUUCUGAUACAAGAAUACUGAAUAAAUCCAAAUAAAAAGAAUCUAUAAGAUCAUUGUUUUUGGUUUUCUGACAACUGAACAAAAUUUGAAGACAUGGCUCUCUUAAGGUGAAUUCUUAGAUCACAGAAAAAUACUGAACAUAAGAGCAAGAUUCGGUAAAGUACAGGGUUCAUUUACAUCUCUAAGUAUACUAAAAUUGUAGCAACAUACUUUAAGGACUAAAACAACAUAUAAAACUGAUCCAUCCUGUGGUAUUUAGCCAGGUCACAAUAAACCUCCAAAAAAUGCUAAUCACCUUUGUUUCUUUAAAGUUAUAUCCCUUAUUACCCUCCUUUUCUCACAAAAAAAAAGAACGUCUCAAAUACUCUUCCAUGAAAAUAGGAUUUCUUCUCAACUGACAAGCGGGUUUAUUAAUAUCAUGUUCAGCUAGCUCUUUGUUAUAUGAUUUGGAACCUAUGAUUUACGAUACAAACCAGGAAGCUAUAUGGUCCACUAUUACAUAGAAUAGCGAUCAGAAAGUUUUUUUGAUCCAUUAAAUAGCAGGGUGUCAACCAUUCUUCACUUAAAGUUAUAGAGUGUCAAUAUGUAGUAAUUUAAAUAUCUUGAUAAAAUGGAAUUCUGAGAUGUCUUGACUAAAUCUUUCCUCCUAUGGGCUCGUAGACUUCAGAAGUUGGUCUUCUACUUCACCUUUUCCAUCCUUUAUCUCAUGGGAAACAAACUGCCAUCAACCCGUUUCAUCUCUCAUGCAUAAUCAACAGUAUGCGGCACUUACUUAUGAGAUCAAAGCUACGGAUAUAGCUUGUUUUUUUUUUUUCAUGUCAGUUUAUUAUCUUCCCAAUCCCCCAUCUCAUGUAAAAGCAUUACCAUCCACUUCAUUCCAUUCCCCCCCCUCUUCUCCCUUUUCCCUGCCUCUGUCUCGUUAGAAAAAACAUAGAACUUUGUUGUUGUGCGAACCACGACCAUCAGUUGACAUAAUCUUCAUCAUGGCUUACGUCAAAUCUAGCUGCAUAUGCAUGUGACUGUUGGUGCACGAGGUUAAUUAAGGUGGGGCUGCGUGUGUUGUCAACCUCCACAUAUAGGGAAGUCUAUUUUAUACAUAAUUUUCGUCAUGGCUUACAUCAAAUCUAGCUGCAUCUGCAUGUGACUUGUUGAUGCACGAUGUGUAUUAAGGUUGAGCUAAAGCAUGUGCUGUCAACCUGCAUAUAUAUAAGUCUUUUUUAUUACACUAAACUCUAAGAAUAUAUUAGGAAAUGGAAAAAUUUUCUAGUUGCAUUAAGGCCAACAAUCUCGCCUAGCACAAGAAACAAAUCAAGUAGAGAAAAGAUUGUUAUUAUGGCGUAUUCACUUUUCUUGCUAUUUCAGUCACUAAUAAAUCAUUAUACUAUAAUUAACAUCAAAUUCUUACUUCAAUUAUUUUUUGAGAUUAGAGAAGCCUAUUGAAUCUCUCCUAUAUCUCAUAUCUAAAGGUUUGUAAGCACUAAUCAACGACUUAGGUUGAGGUUCAAGUUCUAUGAGAGAAAAAUAGAAGCAUAGAUAUGCUGGAAUUAAACUGUAAUUUGAGAUAUAACAAUUUUAGUGACAAAAGUUGAAAAUAAUAUGAACUAAUUUGAUGGGAAGUGUUAGAGAUGCUAGAGAGUGAGAAUUAGGAAACUGAUUGCGGGAUUAGAAGGUCAGGUCAUGGUUAGAUAGGAUGAAAUAAAGAAAAACCAAAGAGGGGAAUGUGAAAUGGUGAAUAUUUGAGGAACCUUGCUAGAGUUGAAAGAGAGGAUAACUGAUGGCGUUCUAGCCUUCAUUGUCAAGGUGUUGAAUAAGGGUAAGGCUCUUUCCUCUUUUCCAUAUAAUUACACCAUGAAAAGAAAGAAAGACUAACUAUUUAUUAAAAAUGUACAAGUAUCUAAAGAGAAGUGGACUAGGCCUUUUGUACCAUAAUGGGGGCCAACACUACAUUUACUUCCUAAAGUGGGCUGUACUCCUACCAAAAAAAAAAGGAAGGAAAAACAAAUUAUGUUUCAGUCAUCUAGCUAAAAACCAAUUUGUUUAUGAACCAAGCACCAUUAAACAUGUAGAAAAGAAGUGUCGAAGAAAUCAAAUAAGUAAAAUUCUCUAAAGUUGGUAUCCACUUUUCUCUUUGCCAACUCCUCAAUUCUAGAAAUAGGAGGGUGCCAGCUGGUUCAAGUGGUAAAAUGACUGCAUGUUGAUGCCAAUGACCUGGAUUUGUGUCCUAGGUGGACUACACAUCUAAAUGUUGAUCAAAUCUUUAUGCAUAGACUCUGAUUCUUUUGACUAAAUCUGAUUGUUCCAUUAAAUUAAAUCCUAGUGAAACUAGGAUGCACAAUACUUACAUGUUUGUGAAGUUAAAACGGUAUCUAACACGUGAAUAUAUCAAUAACUAGCACAGGAAAAACUGUUAUUUGUCAAAUCAAAAAUUUAAAAGGUAACCAGUGCAUGGUACUCAAUAAUAAACGUUCAGUCAGUAAACAAAGCCACAGAUACCACAUUAUGGUGACUGGCAUCAUGCACUGCACUGAUAGAAGGCAAUGAUGAUUGGUUGUUGGUACAAAGCAUGAAAACUAAUUUACAUGUGCCCAUGCACAAUAUCUACCUCUAAUCAUACGAAUUUUGAAGCAUCUUUCCUAAGUAUUGUUUUCAUCAAAAAUCAUUCAUUUUUAAAUCAUUUCUAACAUUUCAAAAUUUUGAAUAUUCACACCCACAAACACAUGGACAUACAGAGAGAGAGAGAGAAGUUUGGCGAGUGUGGGCUUAAAGAAAAAAAAAUGGGGAAUACCAUUAUAAACAUUUUAUCAUGCUAUGGCUGAGAAAUAUAUACCAUACUGCGAAUGCAACCUAUGUCCUAUGGAUUUAGAAAGUGACAAAUAUAUUGAAAAGUUCACCAUGAUGGCGAGUUUUUGGCUUUUUUUAAACCCACAUAGUUAUGCUCUCAUCACUAAUUUUAACUUAAACUUAAACACAUGUCAUCUCCUGAAACAUACUAAUGCCCUGACAUGAUUUUCUAAGGUAAUCAAUUUCCAACCUAGUUGUAAAAAAAUAAAAAUAUAAUCAAACAACUAGAACUUCUUUACCUAUUGGCACUUUCCGAUAUAAGCAGUAGUUAUAGAGUCUAUUGACAUAGGUUAAAUUUUGCGCCCCAAAACAUAUAUAAAAUUUUUAUGUUUUGAUCUUUUUUUGGCAAUCAUUCAUAGAAGACCAAACGUUAUGGCUUUUUGUGGAACACUUAUUGUUAGUUUAUAGAUUAAUUUCAUUUUUAAGAUGAAUAUUUGAUAUGGAAAGUAGAAUUAUUGUCUUACUCGAAUAUCUAUUUUUAAUAAUUAGUUUUAGAGCUACUCCUGAU